AGACAAAGGUGACCUUUAAUAGAUAUUCACGUCACCACUCCGUCAGAGGGUACACCAUCAUUCAUAAGGAAUGGUCCUCUUAUGACUUUCCAGACCAGAUGGGAGGGGAAAAAUAGAUACCCUGAAUGGGGAUAGGGGAACAGAUACUCCUCAGACAUAAAAAUUGAAACAAGAUACAUAAUACGUUAUGCAUGUUAAUACAGAUACAUACUUCGGACAAUUCAUGCUUCAUUCC
rnacentral:lncRNA from 1 species